rnacentral:rRNA from 1 species
UGGGGAAUUUUGGACAAUGGGCGAAAGCCUGAUCCAGCAAUGCCGCGUGUGUGAAGAAGGCCUUCGGGUUGUAAAGCACUUUUGUCCGGAAAGAAAUCCUUGGCUCUAAUACAGUCGGGGGAUGACGGUACCGGAAGAAUAAGCGCCGGCUAACUACGUGCCAGCAGCCGCGGUAAUACGUAGGGUGCAAGCGUUAAUCGGAAUUACUGGGCGUAAAGCGUGCGCAGGCGGUUUGCUAAGACCGAUGUGAAAUCCCGGGCUCAACCUGGGAACUGCAUUGGUGACUGGCAGGCUAGAGUAUGGCAGAGGGGGGUAGAAUUCCACGUGUAGCAGUGAAAUGCGUAGAGAUGUGGAGGAAUAUCGAUGGCGAAGGCAGCCCUCUGGGCCAAUACUGACGCUCAUGCACGAAAGCGUGGGGAGCAAACAGGAUUAGAUACCCUGGUAGUCCACGCCCUAAACGAUGUCAACUAGUUGUUGGGGAUUCAUUUCCUUAGUAACGUAGCUAACGCGUGAAGUUGACCGCCUGGGGAGUACGGUCGCAAG